CCGGGCCAGUGCUCAAGGCCCGUCCCCACUUCGACAUGCGUCGCCGGUAACGGUGGGGUGUGGAGCUCGAAGGAGAAGCCCAAGGGU
rfam:Streptomyces zinciresistens K42 contig00245, whole genome shotgun sequence.